CUACGGGCGGCUCCAGUGAGGAAUAUUGCACAAUGGGGGGAACCCUGAUGCAGCAACGCCGCGUGGAGGAUGACGCAUUUCGGUGUGUAAACUCCUUUUAUAUGUCAAGAAAAUGACGGUAGCAUAUGAAUAAGCUCCGGCUAACUCCGUGCCAGCAGCCGCGGUAAUACGGAGGGAGCAAGCGUUACUCGGAAUCACUGGGCGUAAAGGACGCGUAGGCGGGAUAGAAAGUCAGGUGUGAAAUCCUAUGGCUCAACCAUAGAACUGCACUUGAAACUUCUAACCUAGAGUAUGGGAGGGGAAGAUGGAAUUAGUGGUGUAGGGGUAAAAUCCGUAGAUAUCACUAGGAAUACCAAAAGCGAAGGCGAUCUUCUGGAACAAUACUGACGCUAAGGCGUGAAAGCGUGGGGAGCAAACAGGAUUAGAUACCCGAGUAGUC
rnacentral:rRNA from 1 species